rnacentral:rRNA from 1 species
ACUCAAAUGAAUUGACGGGGGCUCGCACAAGCGGUGGAUCAUGGGGCUUAAUUCGUCGGUAAGCGAGGAACCUUACCAAGGCUAGAAACCAUACUGCACGCUCCGUGAAAGCGGAGAAGCCUUAGAGGGUGUAUGGCAGGUGAUGCAUGGCCGUCGUCAGUUCGUGGCUUGAGCUGUUCCCUUAAGUGGGGAAACGAACGCAACCCUCGUUGCCUGUUACAAGUGUCAGGCGAGACUGCUCCCUCACGGGAGAGGAAGGUGAGGAUGACGCCAGGUCAGCAUGUCCCUAGAUGCCUUGGGCUGCACCCGUGAUACAAUGGGCGGUACAACGAGACGCAAUGUCGUAAGACGGAGCAAAUCUUAAUAAAACCGCCCUCAAUUCGGAUUGAGGUCUGCAACUCGACCUCAUGAAGACGGAAUCGCUAGUAAUCGUGGAUCAGCAUCGCCACGGUGAAUACGUUCCCGAGCCUUGUACACACCGCCCGU